AGUGAACGCUGGCGGUAGGCCUAACACAUGCAAGCCGAACGGCAGCACAGUAAGAGCUUGCUCUUACGGGUGGCGAGUGGCGGACGGGUGAGGAAUACAUCGGAAUCUACUUUUUCGUGGGGGAUAACGUAGGGAAACUUACGCUAAUACCGCAUACGACCUACGGGUGAAAGCAGGGGAUCUUCGGACCUUGCGCGAUUGAAUGAGCCGAUGUCGGAUUAGCUAGUUGGCGGGGUAAAGGCCCACCAAGGCGACGAUCCGUAGCUGGUCUGAGAGGAUGAUCAGCCACACUGGAACUGAGACACGGUCCAGACUCCUACGGGAGGCAGCAGUGGGGAAUAUUGGACAAUGGGUGCAAGCCUGAUCCAGCCAUACCGCGUGGGUGAAGAAGGCCUUCGGGUUGUAAAGCCCUUUUGUUGGGAAAGAAAAGCAGCAGGUUAAUACCCCGCUGUUCUGACGGUACCCAAAGAAUAAGCACCGGCUAACUUCGUG
rnacentral:rRNA from 1 species